GCUAAAACAGAGUGAUGGUCUCAGGACCCCUGCAGAGCUUCAUCCAAGAGCAGAGAACAUGCAUAAACCACCCAGUCUCUAGCAUCCACCUGGUAAACAGAAAUGGGACACUCUGUUUUUGCUUUGUUUUUAGGUUUUGGUUUUUUAGAUAUUUUGAAUUCUGUGAGAGAAGAGGUAGGUAGGUUGAUAAUGAUUCCCCCAUUCUCUUAGCCCUGACAUUUUACUAAAGACCCAGAAACUGAUUUUGAAUUCAAUUCACAUAUUUUCUCCAUGAUAUCAAAGUUUACUCCUCUUGUACCAUCACUCACUUGUUUUAUAAAGACAAGAGCGCUUCAGGGGAAAGAGUGGCUAUUUGUUAGCAUUCUGUCUAAACUCCACCCUCACAGUUACCUGGCAACAGCCAGGCAUGCUCCUCCCCACAGUUACCUGGAAACAGCCAGGCAUGCUCCUCCCCACAGUUACCUGGAAACAGCCAGGUAUGCUCCUCCCCACAGUUACAUGGCAAUAGCCAGGUAGGCCUGACCCACUAUAAAAGGGGUUGCUUGCCCCCUCCUCUCUAUUGCUCUCUUGUUCUCUUGCCUCUCCCUCUUGCUUCCCCUUUCUCUCCAUUCCCUUCCCUCCUCUCGCCACAUGGCCAUGGCUGGCCUCUACAUCUCUACUCUCUCCCUCUCUGUCUUUCUCUGCCUCUACUACCCUCUUAACUCCCCUCCCCAUGUCCUGAAUAAACUCUAUAUUCUGUCCCUCUGGGGGAAGGGAUGCCCUGGCAUGGGCCUGCUAAGAUAUCACUUUCCAUCAUACCUUUUCACACCCCCAUAGAACAUAUCCCCUUAUCUCUCUUUAUCUUUUUAUAAACAGAUCACUAUUUGUUCAUGGAUUUUUAUCCUGGUAUUGAAUCUCAGACCCAUCCCUUUGUAAUUUCUGUUCCUUCGAAGUAGGUCUUGGUGACAGGCAGGGGCACAAUUCCAGAAAAUGGGGUGUAAAAGAAGCUCUGUUGGUGGAUCCUUAAAAGAUUGCUCAAGAGUAACCUCUGUUCUGUGCAACUGUGAUGCCAACAAAGUAUCUUAUAGGUAGAGUAGCCUUCUCACGGGUACGUGGGAGGUGGCCAGAGGGGUCCUGGCAUGUCAGGGAUGCAGAGCAGAGAGAUGCUGCUCAGUUCCUCCAUGGAACAGCCACACCCCUCGAAUCAAUCCUGUGUAACAAUCUCUGGACGUUUUGUUGGCCAGAAUUAGAUUUUCCCUCAUGUCGAAAGCCAAUGGAGCCAUGGUUCUGUUGUUAGAAACAUUCAAAGGGCACCUGAACGUGCAAAGUGGCUAAAGACAUGAAAUUGUCAUUUUAAUGUUAUUUCUGUAUUUGUAAAAAUUUCUAAGUCGACAGUCAAGGAGGAUGCAGAAGGGGUGUCAUUCCUCAAGGAAGCAAAGUCUUUGGAAGGACAAUGAAAUUCUUCGGUAGAGAUGCUGAGAAGCCCCAAGCUAAGCCUGACAGUCUCUGCAUUCUGCUAAGCAGGCUUCAGUUGGCAAAUCAAAAUUUGAGCAGGACACAGAGUUGCCCGGGAAGGUAGUGUUCGCCCUCAUUGCCCAAUUCAAGGGACUUCUCUGUUUUCACUGUUCAUUUCGGCAUUUUCCUCAGCUUUUGUCUGAGCCAUACAGAUACAUUAUUCAUUUCCAUAGCACCUAGGGUCCUGCAUCCUAAUGUGUUUACAGCCUAUGCAGAAGCCUGUGUCUGCUCAUAGGAACAGAGCGCUGGCGUCCAUCAUGUGGGAGAAGGACUGGAAUGCUGAUGAGCUGUUUGGAGCUCACCCUGGCGUCAGGCCCCCCCCAUGCAUCCACCAUGCCCCUAAUGCACUCGGGCUAAUUAUAAGUCAUCACUCUCAUUCUUUCCAGAGCCUAAGAAUCAGGAGGGCUGUGGGGGCAGAUUCUUAAGCAAUUGUGCAAUCUGCCAUCAUGAGGACCUUUUACAAUUCAGUUGCUCACUCUUGUUAAAAUCUGCUGCUCAGUAGUCUUCCAAUCCCAGGAAGCCCUGUUGCGCAUUGCUCAAAGUUAAAAACAAAAACAAAAACACAAACAAGCAAACAAACACACAAACAAAAGAAACCAGGCAGCAAUGGCAUCCAAACAUAAACACUGACAGAAUUUUUGGAUUUCCCUUUAGAAUGGGUUUUAAACCUGGUAGGUAGGAAUCUUUUAAAUCUUGUUGAAAAAGUCCUAAAGAAUUGGGAUUCUGUUUAAUAAACUGCAAUUAACAGUUGAGAAUCCCACUCACUACUUCUUUUAAAGUGACAUUUUUAAAGACUUCUUAUAUUACAAUAUUCUCAAGGGAAAGUCCUGUUAAAAUAUCUUCAGAUUCCUGAGACAGGGAAGAGUCAGCCCCUGUCUACAUUUCUAAGAGCUUGGGUUACUUCUGAGCAUGGCAACACAGCUGUAGCAAACACCACGAGCUGUUCUACAAAUAGAAAAAAAAAAUUACAUACUUAGAAGUUGGCUAGUCUAGAGCUAGAAUGCUGCAGAUUUGGAGUCCAUUAGGGGCCUGCUUUCUUGGUCAUUCACGAUACCUUUGUGCUAUAGCCUUACAUAGAAGCACGAAUAGAGAGAUCUCUGGGGUUCUCUUCUAAGGGGGCCAGCCCAUCCACGAAGCUUCCGUUUUUCAUGCUCCAAUGACCCCACAAAGCCUUUCUCAAGCCCAUCACACAAGGGUGAGAAUUUUAACAUACAUAAUUUGCGCCCCCUGUGGUCAUCUUAUCUUUUCUACUAUGCUUCACCAUAAUAUCUGUUUGGUUCUUUACAUAGGUCACGUGAAAGCUAAGUAAUAAUAAAACAUAGCUAGAGGGUUUGAAUCUGAGUGCAAUAUAGUCAUAGCCUUUUUUUGUUCCCUCCUUGGAUUGAUUUCUGGGUAGAAUUUUUUAAGACGGGGCUGGGGAAGAUGAGAGGUUCAGUGGCCUAAGGCAGAUGAAGUCUGUUCAUGGGAAAGUAAGAUAAUUACCCCAUCAACUUGAAGUUGCUUAGAAUGUCAACAUCAAUAACCGUCCUUAGAGCUCUGUAACCUGACGGUGGCAACUACAGAACCAUAAAGC
rnacentral:lncRNA from 1 species